rnacentral:rRNA from 1 species
CCUACGGGAGGCAGCAGUGGGGAAUAUUGGACAAUGGGCGAAAGCCUGAUCCAGCAAUGCCGCGUGAGUGAUGAAGGCCUUAGGGUUGUAAAGCUCUUUUACCAGGGAUGAUAAUGACAGUACCUGGAGAAUAAGCUCCGGCUAACUCCGUGCCAGCAGCCGCGGUAAUACGGAGGGAGCUAGCGUUGUUCGGAAUUACUGGGCGUAAAGCGUGCGUAGGCGGUGAUUCAAGUCAGAGGUGAAAGCCUGGAGCUCAACUCCAGAACGGCCUUUGAAACUAGAUCGCUAGAAUUAUGGAGAGGUAAGUGGAAUUCCGAGUGUAGAGGUGAAAUUCGUAGAUAUUCGGAAGAACACCAGUGGCGAAGGCGACUUACUGGACAUAUAUUGACGCUGAGGUACGAAAGCGUGGGGAGCAAACAGGAUUAGAUACCCUGGUAGUCCACGCCGUAAACGAUGAUAACUAGCUGUUCGGGCUCUCAGAGCUUGAGUGGCGCAGCUACGCAUAAGUUAUCCGCCGUGGGAGGUACGGUCGCGAGAGUAAACUACGAAAGAAGUAGACGCGNGAGACGUGCCGACGACGACGACGAGGGAGGUUAGG